rnacentral:rRNA from 1 species
UACGGAGGGGGCUAGCGUUGUUCGGAAUUACUGGGCGUAAAGCGCACGUAGGCGGCUUUGCAAGUCAGAGGUGAAAGCCCGGGGCUCAACCCCGGAAUAGCCUUUGAGACUGCAUCGCUAGAAUUGUGGAGAGGUAAGUGGAAUUCCGAGUGUAGAGGUGAAAUUCGUAGAUAUUCGGAGGAACACCAGUAGCGAAGGCGGCUCACUGGCUCGAUACUGACGCUGAGGUGCGAAAGCGUGGGGAGCAAACAGG